rnacentral:lncRNA from 1 species
GUGGAGAGAAGCCAGGCUGCCGUCCUGGCCAGUGCGGCUUCCUCUACUUUUUUUUUUUCCCCCUUCUUUUCAUCCCACGCAUCACAUGGGUUGGGCUCCCUACGUUGGGGACCUGGCUUACUCGACGCUCAUCAUCAUAGGUCUGACACUUAGUCGAUGUAGCUAUCCCCACCUCAGGGCAACAAGACUCGGGCUGGCAGACAGACUGGGGAAGCCAACCUGCUUCCUGCUGGUGGGUUUCCAGACUCCACCCGCAGGAUUGUGCUUAGCUGGCCCACGCCUGGUGGUAGAUGACGGGGACUUAGAUACCUAAGCAUCUGGGAAUCGCUAACCUCCAGACAGAUAAAGACACCAAGUGCAUGGCAGGAUCCUGGCAAACGGCAUAUGGCAAAUGCUCACACAAAAUGUGCUGGCUUGAUCAGACCAAUAUGCUCCUGUCAAGAGCAGCAGAACUCGUAGACUCAGGGUGCAUUCUAUCCAGGUUCCUAAACUGAGCUUGGAAGGAAGAGGAAAGAGCUGCAGAGGCGGAGACUCUGACCCCAAAGCGAUCGAGGGCCCUCCCCUGGCUUCCGUGUCCCUGUGGCAGGCGGUGGUGGUCGAAAUCUCUGCCCCUCAGAGUCCUGGGGAGGAUGGAUGGAACAGGAGGAGCAUCAUGAGAAGGCUUCCUGUAAACUACGGAGGGUGAGGGGACGGAGCGUGAGGGAACGUCGUGAGAUGGUGCUCGUGGAAGCCAGCAGAGGGUGUAGGGUCUCCUGGAGCCACAUCUCUGGAGUUACAUGAAGUUGUGGACCUCUCAACAUGGGUUCUGGGAACUGAACCCAGGUCCUCUGGAAGGACAUCGAGUGCUCUUAACCACUGAGCCAUCUCUGCAGCCUAACCCCAUCCCUUGGAGGCUGAAGCAAAGCAAGUUCAAUGACCGUGCGACCUGGCUCUUGUUUGGGCCUAAGGAAAAGCCGACUGUAAGCCGGGAAGCAUCUCUGGCAAGAACAAGGAAGGAUUAAGCACGUCUGUGGUUGUGCGCAGGGAUCACAAGGUGCUCCUGCAGUGGGAAGAGCCACCACUAGGGGCGCUCCAAGUCUUGUAUUUUCUACCUUGAAAACUCGUUUCCCUGUGGCUGCCCUCCAAAUCCAACGGAGAUGAAUGGCUUUUAGUUUACCUAGCUGAUUUAAUAAACUUUAAAAAUAAA